rnacentral:lncRNA from 1 species
UUACAGGCUUAGGUUUUGGUUUGCAUACAUAGUAGAUGAAGCAGUUUUUUCAUACUUUAAACAAACAAGUAAUAAUUCCGACCAAAAUGAAGGUAGUGAUUUAAGUGCUGAACAGAGAAAAUUCAGUAAAAUUCUGCUCUCAGAGGCCUCAUGGACUAGUUGUGUCGAUAGGCAAUUUCAACAUGAGAUCAUUGGAGAGGAAUAUAUCAUGUUCACUGGAAGAAGGCAAAAGAAUGUAACGACUGGAGGAAGCUUAGCAGGCAUUCAACGUUGUAUAAACUGAUUCUCUAAGCUUUUUGGAGGAGGGUUUCUGAAUGCACGGCAUUGCUUCAACAAAGGUCAACACAUGAGGACCACAUCGGUGGUAUACCUUGUCCUCCAGAUUCCAAUUGGGUUUUGCAAAUGGCGGAAAGGAGAAGAAUGAGAAUCACAACUGGCGGUGCCUACAAGGUACAUCCCAGCUUGCUGGAAAAUUUUUUUUUCACAAGACCAGAUGAGGAACUGGGACCCAGGGUGAUGAGGAGACUUUCCCAGUCAGCAUUACAAAUCCAAGACAAGAAGGCUGGUCUCCUGUCUUCUCAUCUGGUGAGCUGUCCCAUCACUCCGCUGCCUUCAGGGCUAGCCCCUCUCUCAAGCCACUCUCCUCUCCAUUCUUUCCCAAAGCCAUAGAGGGAGAUCUAUCUUCUGCGUGUGGAGGGAAGAGAGUGUGAGGGGAAGUGUUCCUCGUGGGAGCUAUGGUGGCUGUGGGAAAGUGAACAAGGCUCUAAAGGAGAAGCUGUUUCCUUGCUGUUUUCAGCUUUGAGAGGCUGCCUGCAUUCUUCCGCCGUGACUCCUCCUUCCAUCUUGAAACCCAGCAGCAUAGCAUCUACAAAUCUCUCUCACCUCUGAUUCCAAGGGAUAAGGAUAUCACCUACCUUGUUGGGUUGCUGAGAUAACUGGAUGAGUUAACGUACAACAGUGCCUGGAAUGUAGUGAGCACGGAAUAACAGAGGAGAUUUUUACCCUCCUAUUGCAAGAAGUUUAAUCUUCAUACAAGGUGAUGGGUUGAUACAUAAAUUGAGAGUGAAGUCAAGAUCUCCUCACUUCCUGAGAGGUAUUAAGUUUCUGGCUAGACUUUGACUGGAGCUGUGUCUACCACAGACCACGCCUCCAAAUGUUGCUGCUGACCAAGUCCCCAAAUGAAAAGGAAACCUCAAGGCAAGAACCAUUCAUAUAACAAUUCAUUCAGCCAUUAUCUGGUGAGCAUCCAUCAUGUGCCAGGUGAUAUAGUAAACACCAGAACUACAGGGAAGACCAGGUGCAGUCCCCACCUGCAAAGAUCUGAAGAUCAAGUGGAGAAGACGAGAAGUAAGCUUGAUCCGUGUCUUCCCCAAGAGGCAGCAAGGAGAAGCAGCCAAGGGAAGCAGGAGAGGCUCAGUAUCCUCUUUUGGAUGCUGCCCCUAAGAACAAACCCCUCCCACGUUUUCUACCUUACGCAGAAGAAAAUCUGAGCAACACAGUCUCAUGUGUUUCCUGUGUAUCCCAUAGGGGUAUGGUCCAGUCUCUCUCUCUCUGGAAAAGGCUACAUUUUUCUCUUAGAUUAAAGUCGCCACUUCGGAAACCCAUUUUAUUUUUGAGGACGAUUAGCCCUGAGCUAACAUCUGCCACAAAUCCUCCUCUUUUUGCAGAGGAAGAUUGGCUCUGAGCUAACAUCUGUGCUCAUCUUUGUCUAUUUAAUAUGUGGGAUGCAUGCCACAGCAUGGCUUUGUAAGGGAUGCGUAGGUCCGCAACCGGGAUAUGAACCAGUGAACCCUGGGCUGCUGAAACAGACUGCUCGAAUUUAACCACUAUGCCACCGGACUGGCCCCUGGAAAACCUUUUGAAAUUCCCUACUUUUAAAACUACACACAUGUCUAGCCUAUGACCUUGUAUUUCCAUUCCAUAGAUAAAUGGGUAUCUUUGUCUACCAAAUGAGAAGAAUAAGAAUUUCAUAGAAGUCUUAUUCAUAAUAGCUAAAAACUAGAACCCAAACAUCUGUCUACAGUAGAAUGGAUAAAUUGCAGAAUAUUAAUAAAGGGGAAUUCCAUGCAACAAUAAAAGAGAAUAUCUGCCAUAAGCAACAGCACAGUUGGACCUCACAGACAUAGUAACGAACGAGUGAAAGAAGCUAGCCACAGAAGAGUACACACACUGUAUGAUUCAAUUAUGUGAAAUUCAGGAACAGGAGAAACUCAACUGCGGUGGCAAAAAGCAGAAUAUUGGUUACCUGAUUUGGGGGGUCAGGCAGGGCCAGUAGGUAAGAACUUAGGAAGGGGCACAAAGGAUCCCUCUGGGGUGUUGAAAAUAUUCCAUAUAUAUGUAAAAAUCCAUUGAUUUCUGCACUUAAGAUUUGUGUAUGGAUCUACACUUCAAUAAACCUUUUUUAUAAAUGAUCAUUGACUCUUUCCUCCCAACAGCUGGAAAUUGCUAGAAUUAUGUAUACGGUGGUGUUUCAGUCUACUGCUCUUUCCCUUAGCAGCCACCCACUUUGGGUUCUCCAUGUUUUUUUCAUAAGGGAGUCCCUCUUAGGAAAGCCGGUAUUUUGACCACAACAAAAUAUUUUGAAGUAAGAAUUGAAACACAAAUUUACAGAAACAUUUUAACAAAAAACCGUUUUCAUUAUACAUGCAAAUUCAGGACAGAUGUGGUCAGAGGAAUAACCCAAGUCCACCCACCACUAGAAGAAAAGUAAAACUUAAUAAGAAUUUUUGAAAUAUUGUAAUGAUUUUCUCCCUGGCUUCUAGUCAAGACUGCAACAGAAAUUCAGAAAUGCCACCAGAAAGGCCUCUCCGGGUACAUGUGACUAGAAUUCUCAGACAGUACUGAGUGGCUGGGGAAACCUCACAGAGCUUUGA